AGCGAACGUUAGCGGCGGGCCUAACACAUGCAAGUCGAACGAGAAUGAGGGGGCAACUCCUCUAGUAAAGUGGCGGACGGGUGCGUAACACGUUGGUAAUCUACCUCCCGGCGGGGGACGAACAGUCCGAAACGGAAGUUGCUAAUAACCGCAUACGUCGGCGAGAUCUCCGGAUCUUGUCGGGAAAGAUGGCCUCUCCUUGGAAGCUGUCA
rnacentral:rRNA from 1 species